UUACGGCUACAUCAUGUUGAAACACCAGUUCCUCGUGCGAUCACCGAAGUUAAGCAACGUCAAGUCUGGUCGCUACCUAGAUGGGCGAUCGCUUGGGAAUAUCACGGGCUGU